rnacentral:rRNA from 1 species
UAGGGAAUCUUCCGCAAUGGGCGAAAGCCUGACGGAGCAACGCCGCGUGAGUGAUGAAGGUCUUCGGAUCGUAAAACUCUGUUAUUAGGGAAGUACAAAUGUGUAAGUAACUAUGCACGUCUUGACGGUACCUAAUCAGAAAGCCACGGCUAACUACGUGCCAGCAGCCGCGGUAAUACGUAGGUGGCAAGCGUUAUCCGGAAUUAUUGGGCGUAAAGCGCGCGUAGGCGGUUUUUUAAGUCUGAUGUGAAAGCCCACGGCUCAACCGUGGAGGGUCAUUGGAAACUGGAAAACUUGAGUGCAGAAGAGGAAAGUGGAAUUCCAUGUGUAGCGGUGAAAUGCGCAGAGAUAUGGAGGAACACCAGUGGCGAAGGCGACUUUCUGGUCUGUAACUGACGCUGAUGUGCGAAAGCGUGGGGAUCAAACAGG